rfam:Populus trichocarpa isolate Nisqually-1 chromosome 5, whole genome shotgun sequence.
UAAUUUGUAUGGGGCAUAUUCUCAUUUAAUUAUAACAGACUUAUACCUAAUUGCUCAGAACAAUUUGUUAUCACAAACCUGAUUACUUCGAUAAUUUUGUUCAAUUUAUUUUUCUUAAUU